GGCAUGAUGGCUUAGUGGUUAGCAUUUGCCUUGCGCCUCCAGGGCUGGGGGUUCGAGUCCCAUCUCUGCCC